rfam:Schizopora paradoxa strain KTC8140 unplaced genomic scaffold SCHPAscaffold_00726, whole genome shotgun sequence.
GUCGAGAUGGCCGAGUGGUCUAAGGCGCUGGAUUUAAGAUUUGACCAACGUAAUUGUUUGGUCUGUUCCUUGUCUCCCAGUAACGAAAGUUGCGUGGGUUCGAACCCCACUCUCGACA